UACGGAGGGUGCAAGCGUUGUCCGGAUUCAUUGGGGUUAAAGGGCUCGUAGGUGGCCAACUAAGUCAGACGUGAAAUCCCUCAGCUUAACUGGGGAACUGCGUCUGAUACUGGAUGGCUUGAGUUUGGGAGAGGGAUGCGGAAUUCCAGGUGUAGCGGUGAAAUGCGUAGAUAUCUGGAGGAACACCGGUGGCGAAGGCGGCAUCCUGGACCAAUACUGACACUGAGGAGCGAAAGCCAGGGGAGCAAACGGG
rnacentral:rRNA from 1 species